UUUAGUCUUUUAAACAAAAGUUUUAUGGAAAAUCACUCCAUUUACCCUAAUCCUCUAUUUUACAAAGCCAGAGAAAAUUUAUGAUGGGAAUAUGAAAACCCCACUGUGAUUGUCUUCUUAUAUAUAUAUAUAUAUGUAUAUGUUUAUAAUAAAUUUGAAAUUGUUGUAUGGUUGGACUUUUGUUGCUUAUUGGUUUUCGAACUAAAAG
rnacentral:lncRNA from 1 species